AACGAACGCUGGCGGCAUGCCUAACACAUGCAAGUCGAACGAAGGCUUCGGCCUUAGUGGCGCACGGGUGCGUAACGCGUGGGAAUCUGCCCUUUGGUUCGGAAUAACAGCUGGAAACGGCUGCUAAUACCGGAUGAUGACGAAAGUCCAAAGAUUUAUUGCCAGAGGAUGAGCCCGCGUUGGAUUAGGUAGUUGGUGGGGUAAAGGCCUACCAAGCCGACGAUCCAUAGCUGGUCUGAGAGGAUGAUCAGCCACACUGGGACCGAGACACGGCCCAGACUCCUACGGGAGGCAGCAGUGGGGAAUAUUGGACAAUGGGCGCAAGCCUGAUCCAGCAAUGCCGCGUGAGUGAUGAAGGCCCUAGGGUUGUAAAGCUCUUUUACCCGGGAAGAUAAUGACUGUACCGGGAGAAUAAGCCCCGGCUAACUCCGUG
rnacentral:rRNA from 1 species